CAGUUAAAGAAGCGACCGAGGGACUGGGAGUCGUUCGUGAGGAUGACGCGGCAUGGCAAGAACUGCACCGCGGGGGCCGUCUACACCUACCACGAGAAGAAGAAGGACACAGCGGCCUCAGGCUAUGGGACCCAGAACAUUCGACUGAGCCGGGAUGCCGUGAAGGACUUCGACUGCUGUUGUCUCUCCCUGCAGCCUUGCCACGAUCCUGUUGUCACCCCAGAUGGCUACCUGUAUGAGCGUGAGGCCAUCCUGGAGUACAUUCUGCACCAGAAGAAGGAGAUUGCCCGGCAAAUGAAGUUUCAUCAUGUGUAAAACGGGCUGACGGCCAAAUCAGAGGACACAGCAGGGCACCUGGGAGGUACACGCAGAUGAGCAUUCUCAAGGCGUGUUACUGGGAACCCGGCCUGGCCUUCCACGGACAAAGCCAUUUGAUGGGUAGGAGGGGCCCUGUUUGAGGCACAGUGGGUCUGUCCCCCUCUUCCCCUGCCUGGUUGCUGGCGCUCAGGAAACACUACAGGUCACGUGCUUAUUGGGCUUUUUGUCCCAAGCAAGUGGCUCCCCCUGUGCCCAUGUCCUCCACGCAGCCUGGUGGUCAUGUCGGAGGCCCUCAUGAGCAUCCAUCACUGUCACUGUUACCUCCUCACUCAGCUGGGUGGCCCAGGGUGGUCUCAAACUGCAGCACCGCCCGGGCACCUGCUGUGCACCAGUGAGGGCUGAGCUCAGGACAUGGCUUCACUCCUCCCGUCCUCACUCACUGCCCGUCCGUAGACACGGGCUCCUCAGCAUUCCCUUAGAUCUGGAGUCUACAUCCCCCGUCCCAAACACGGUCUGGGGCAUGCACUGUAUAGAAAACCUAAUUGGCCAGCAGGUGACAUUAAUUAAAUGCUUAGUUGAGUGCCAGGUGAGGCUCUCCAUGCUUUAAACACUCACCUUAUGUAACCCUUCAGUGAGUCACUGAGGUGGGUAACCACCGUUAGCCUGUUUUAUAGAUGAAGAAACUGAGGCCAGGAGAGGUCAUAGUGCUCACUUAGGCCACAGAGUGACAGAGAUGGGCUUUGAGCCCUGGCGCUCUGGCUAUACAACGCAGUAAGGUUCACACCCGCCCAGGCAGUGACCACCCUCUGCCAGAUAGUGCCUCCAUCAGAGGGUCCCCUUUGCGGGCCUCAGUUUACCUACCUGUGAAAUGGGAGGAAGAUACCCCCAGCCUCACGGGCAGAUGCUCAGCCCACUUUCCCCGACGCAGGCCUACGAGAAGCAGCGGGGCACCAGGCGCGAGGAGCAGAAGGAGCUUCAGCGGGCGGCCUCGCAGGACCAUGUGCGGGGAUUCCUGGAGAAGGAGUCGGCCAUCGUGAGCCGGCCCCUCAACCCUUUCACAGCCAAGGCCCUCUCGGGCACCAGCCCAGAUGAUGUCCAACCUGGGCCCAGUGUGGGUCCUCCAAGUAAGGACAAGGACAAAGUGCUGCCCAGCUUCUGGAUCCCGUCGCUGACACCCGAAGCCAAGGCCACCAAGCUGGAGAAGCCGGUGAGCCCCCACAGCGCCCCAGCACGCACUGUGCCAGGGCGCCAGGGUUCCCCACCGUCCUCACGCACAGGGACCACGCGCUCUCCACCUGCGCCAGCCCUGCCUACUGAGCCCGCCUCUCUGCCCCUUGCAGUCCCGCACGGUGACCUGCCCCAUGUCGGGGAAGCCCCUGCGCAUGUCGGACCUGACGCCCGUGCACUUCACACCGCUAGACAGCUCCGUGGACCGCGUGGGGCUCAUCACGCGCAGCGAGCGCUACGUGUGCGCCGUGACCCGCGACAGCCUGAGCAACGCCACCCCCUGCGCUGUGCUGCGGCCCUCGUGAGUCACCUGGGAGGGGAGGGAAGGGACCACCCGGGAACCUGCGGGGCGGGCCAGCUUUGGGGCCAGUAGGUCCCCAGGAAGGCCUCUGAUCAGAGUCUCCCGCCUUCGGCCUCACCGUAGUGGGGCAGUGGUCACCCUCGAAUGCGUGGAGAAGCUGAUUCGGAAGGACAUGGUGGACCCUGUGACUGGAGACAAACUCACAGACCGCGACAUCAUCGUGCUGCAGCGGGGCGGUACCGGCUUCGCCGGCUCCGGAGUGAAGCUGCAAGCGGAGAAAUCGCGGCCAGUGAUGCAGGCCUGAGUGUGUGCGGGAGACCAAAUAAACCGGCUUGGGUGCGC
rnacentral:sRNA from 1 species